AUACGAACCGUACGAACGUUAUUCGGAAUCACUGGGCUUAAAGGGUGCGUAGGCGGCCUAGUAAGUUGGGUGUGAAAUCCCUCGGCUCAACCGAGGAACUGCGCUCAAAACUGCUAGGCUUGAGGGAGACAGAGGUGAGCGGAACUCAGGGUGGAGCGGUGAAAUGCGUUGAUAUCCUGGGGAACACCAGUAGCGAAAGCGGCUCACUGGGUCUUUUCUGACGCUCAGGCACGAAAGCUAGGGGAGCGAACGGGAUUAGAUACCCCGGUAGUCCUAGCUGUAAACGAUGAGCACUGGGUUGGAGGGUCCUCCAUAGCCUUCCAGCCGUAGCGAAAGUGUUAAGUGCUCCGCCUGGGGAGUAUGGUCGCAAGGCUGAA
rnacentral:rRNA from 1 species